rnacentral:rRNA from 1 species
GAUGAACGCUGGCGGCAGGCUUAACACAUGCAAGUCGAGCGCCCCGCAAGGGGAGCGGCAGACGGGUGAGUAACGCGUGGGAAUCUACCCAUCACUACGGAACAACUCCGGGAAACUGGAGCUAAUACCGUAUACGUCCUUCGGGAGAAAGAUUUAUCGGUGAUGGAUGAGCCCGCGUUGGAUUAGCUAGUUGGUGGGGUAAUGGCCCACCAAGGCGACGAUCCAUAGCUGGUCUGAGAGGAUGAUCAGCCACACUGGGACUGAGACACGGCCCAGACUCCUACGGGAGGCAGCAGUGGGGAAUAUUGGACAAUGGGCGCAAGCCUGAUCCAGCCAUGCCGCGUGAGUGAUGAAGGCCCUAGGGUUGUAAAGCUCUUUCACCGGUGAAGAUAAUGACGGUAACCGGAGAAGAAGCCCCGGCUAACUUCGUGCCAGCCGCCGUAAUAC